rnacentral:rRNA from 1 species
GUGAGGAAUAUUGGACAAUGGGCGCAAGCCUGAUCCAGCCAUGCCGCGUGCAGGAAGACGCAUCUAUGGUGUGUAAACUGCUUUUGUACGGGAAGAAACACUCCCUCGUGAGGGAGCUUGACGGUACCGUAAGAAUAAGGAUCGGCUAACUCCGUGCCAGCAGCCGCGGUAAUACGGAGGAUCCAAGCGUUAUCCGGAAUCAUUGGGUUUAAAGGGUCCGUAGGCGGUUUAAUAAGUCAGUGGUGAAAGCCCAUCGCUCAACGAUGGAACGGCCAUUGAUACUAUUAGACUUGAAUUACAAGGAAGUAACUAGAAUAUGUAGUGUAGCGGUGAAAUGCUUAGAUAUUACAUGGAAUACCAAUUGCGAAGGCAGGUUACUACUUGUGGAUUGACGCUGAUGGACGAAAGCGUGGGGAGCGAACAGGAUUAGAUACCCUAGUAGUCC